GAUGAACGCUGGCGGCGUGCCUAAUACAUGCAAGUCGAGCGAACAGAUGAGGAGCUUGCUCCUCUGACGUUAGCGGCGGACGGGUGAGUAACACGUGGAUAACCUACCUAUAAGACUGGGAUAACUUCGGGAAACCGGAGCUAAUACCGGAUAAUAUAUUGAACCGCAUGGUUCAAUAGUGAAAGACGGUUUUGCUGUCACUUAUAGAUGGAUCCGCGCCGCAUUAGCUAGUUGGUAAGGUAACGGCUUACCAAGGCGACGAUGCGUAGCCGACCUGAGAGGGGGAUCGGCCACACUGGAACUGAGACACGGUCCAGACUCCUACGGGAGGCAGCAGUAGGGAAUCUUCCGCAAUGGGCGAAAGCCUGACGGAGCAACGCCGCGUGAGUGAUGAAGGUCUUCGGAUCGUAAAACUCUGUUAUUAGGGAAGAACAAAUGUGUAAGUAACUAUGCACGUCUUGACGGUACCUAAUCAGAAAGCCACGGCUAACUACGUG
rnacentral:rRNA from 1 species